rnacentral:rRNA from 1 species
AAAGCUGAUACAUAAUCAAAUUAGACGAUGUAUCAUAUGUGAACUAUAUUAAUGCGAUUGAGUAAUUAGUAUGUCUUAGUGCAAACUUUGAUUGAAAAUUACUCUUAUUCGUAUGAUAUAAAGUAAUGUAUGGGUGAAGUCUUAAAAGAUUUAAUCGGUGUACAUAAUUUAAACGGAUAUCAACUCCAGAAGUUGAUAGUUUCGUUCAUUUUUCACUUUGAAAAAAUUAGAGUGUUCAAAGCCGAGCUAAAAUUGCUCGAAUGUUAUAUCAUUGUAUGAAAUAACAUGAUCUCGUUUAGACUUUUUUGUCUUCUUUUAUUGAUCUAAAAUGAGAUAAUGAUUAAAAGGAACAGCCGGUGGCAUUGGUAUUACGGCGCUAGAGGUGAAAUUCUUAGACCGUCGUAAGACUACCUACUGCGAAAGCAUUUGCCAAGAAUGUUUUCAUUAAUCAAGAACGAAAGUUAGAGGAUCGAAGGCGAUCAGAUACCGCCCUAGUUCUAACCAUAAACUAUGCCAACUAGCGAUCCGUCGGUGUCAUAUCCACGACUCGACGGGAAGCCCCUGGGAAACCUAAGUUUUUGGGUUCUGGG